CCGGGGGGCACAGCGGCACGCAGAGCCAUCCCAGAGCACAUGGCGCAGCACUGCGUCCAGACGGUUCUGGAAUAGCUCCGCUGAGGGAGACUCCGCGCCCUCUCUGGACAGCGUGUUCCAGAAAGGAGUUCUUCCCCAUGCUCAGCGAGAAGACCCUGGUGACAUCUUCUUGGCACUCCACUUUUGGUAUUUAUACACGUUAAUGAGGGCCCCUCUCAGCUCUCUCUUCUCAAGGCUUAACAGGCCCAGUGCCCCCAGCCUUUCCUUAAGUUCCAUCUCUUCCCAGGUAAUGAAGCUGGAGAGUCCUCAGUGACUGGUCCCCCAGAUCCAGGGCUGGUGUUGGGCUCUCAGCUUCUCACCCUGCCCACAGAUUUGCUCCUGGAUGGCACUGCCAUGGGCUUCAACAUCUUCAGUCCACAGCCUCUGAUCAGGACUUUCCUGCUUCCUCCACCCAUGUUCACCACCCAGCAGUUCUGAGAGCUGUUGGUCAGAUCUGUUUCCUUUAUAACCAGAGAAAGUCUGCGAAGAUGAAUCAUUAACAAAAAUUGUGGAAAACAUGCGUAUUUGCCAGCAGUCAAAAAGUUUAAAGAAAGUACAUGCAUAUGUAAACGUGAAUUGAAAUGCAUUUGUGAGUGGAAGCCAUUCUCUAUCCAGUAAGUAGUCACAUUUCAAUGGUGAAAUUAUAUAUCCUAAUUAGAGAUUCAUUAUAAAACUCUGAGAUACUUCUGCUGAAAGGACCCAUGUAUGCAUGCAUGUAAGCACAUUGCUGCAAUAAAUUUUCAAGAUCCACAACAGGAUUAUGUCACUAAAAUAACAUUUUUGAAAUAAAUUAAAGACAGGAAUAUUAAUUUAAUCUAUUUUCUUAAUCAGUGUAAUUAUUUUAUUAACAUGUUGUAGAAAAAUUCAUUGCAAUUAAUGCAAGAGAGGGCAAGUAUUACAUGCUUUCUGUUUUCUUUUCCUGUCUGUUGUCCAAAUGUAAGCACUUUCUGGAGGAAUCAUGAUAAAUCCAUAGCAUCUUAUUUCAUUCAACCCUAUUUACUUUUAACAGAGCCAGCAGACAGCACUGCAAAUGUGCUGCCAAGAUGUAUGGGUGACUUUGCAUUAAGUAAAUGCAAAGGCAGAUCUAGCUGAUAUAAAUCACAAUUUCAUGGGCAGUUUUAAAAGAGUGAAAAAUU